rfam:gamma proteobacterium HdN1, complete genome.
GUCAUCGCGAGGUGAGGUCUAAAGGAAGCCAAGGAAAAAUCGCGGGGCGAUGAACAAAAACCGGAUAUGAGGUGUGACAUAAGCGGGGCGUAUGGGCACGUGACCAUCAAGCCCUCCAUCUGCAAUUGGCUUGUGUUUUAUAAAUCCUGCGCCUACGCGAGGAACGUUAACUGUC